ACUACUCACUCAUGGUGAGUUUAAAAAACAUAAUGACAUUGAAAUAAAAUAACACAAGACAAUUUGAAGAAAUAAAAAAAAAAAGCCAAAACAAAGAUUUGUAACAUUGAACUUUUGGAACUUCAGCUGAGAUUCCUUCUCUUAGAGCUAUGAUGUAAAUUCUCUCCAAAUUGCUUAGAAAACUACUCUCUUGUUUGUUUUGGUAUUCUAGUAUUUAUAGCGGGUGUCUAAAAGUCAUGUUUCAGAGUCCCAAAAGCCUUGGAAGUCUGAUCGAAAAGAGUGCAGGAGAAUUCAGGUCAAAAUAGAAGUCUAUCUGGUGUAAGGUACAUGGCCUAUUUGGCACUACAUGGCCUUGGCCCAUGUAAUUCUCUAGACUACUCUACACUUUAGGGAGGAUAGCAGGUUACACGGGGUGAGCAAGUUACACAGGGUUAUUCACAUAGCCUGUGUACUGUGGUCUCUUUAUGGUUCUUCAGGUUUUGAUUGCCAGAGGGUUACAUAGGUUAGGUCUCUUGGCUACAUGACCCAUGUAAUGUUGGACAGUAGGCCUUCUAGCUUUUCCUGACUUCCAAACUUAUCCAAUGACUUCUAUGCCUUGUAUCUUCUUUAAAACACCUGAAAAGAUACCAAAAGCAUGGAAUUAAGCAGAGAUUAUCGAAACUAACAAAAACUAAUGAAAGUAAGUAAAAUGCAUACAAUUAACUACCUAA
rnacentral:misc_RNA from 1 species